UACGUAGGGUGCAAGCGUUAAUCGGAAUUACUGGGCGUAAAGCGUGCGCAGGCGGUGAUGCAAGACAGAUGUGAAAUCCCCGGGCUUAACCUGGGAAUGGCCAUGGAAACUGGCGAACUGGAGUGCGGCAGAGGGGGGUGGAAUUCCGCGUGUAGCAGUGAAAUGCGUAGAGAUGCGGAGGAACACCGAUGGCGAAGGCAGCCCCCUGGGCUAGCACUGACGCUCAGGCACGAAAGCGUGGGGAGCAAACAGG
rnacentral:rRNA from 1 species